rnacentral:rRNA from 1 species
UAGUCGAAGGUGUGAUGCGGACCGAAAAAGAGUAGGGAAGCUGUUAAGCAAGCCGUCAAGAAAAGCUGCUAUUGUUUCAUUAUGGCCCGUACCGUAAACCGACACAGGUGGAUGGGGAGAGAAUCCUAAGGCCGGCGGAAGAAGUAUUGUUAAGGAACUCGGCAAAAUGACCCCGUAACUUCGGGAGAAGGGGUGCCUGCGAGAGCAGGCCGCAGAGAAGAGGCCCAAGCAACUGUUUAGCAAAAACACAGGUCUAUGCAAAACCGAAAGGUGAGGUAUAUGGGCUGACGCCUGCCCGUGCUGGAAGGUUAAGGGGAGUGGUCAGGAAACGAAGCCACGAACUUAAGCCCCAGUAAACGGCGGCCGUAACGAUAACGGUCCUAAGGUAGCGAAAUUCCUUGUCGGGUAAGUUCCGACCCGCACGAAAGGCGUAAUGAUUUGGGCGCUGUCUCGACAAUACAUCCGGUGAAAUUGAAGUGCCAGUGAAGAUGCUGGCUACCUGCGCCAGGACGGAAAGACCCCAUGGAGCUUUACUCCAGCUUGAUACUGGGACCCGGUAUUGCAUGUACAGGAUAGGUGGGAGGCUAGGAAAUGUGGACGCCAGUCUGCAUGGAGCCGCUGUUGGGAUACCACCCUUGUGGUGCUGGGUUUCUAACCAGAGGCCGUGAACCGGUCUGGGGACAAUGUCAGGUGGGGAGUUUGACUGGGGCGGUCGCCUCCGAAAGGGUAUCGGAGGCGCCCGAAGGUUCCCUCAGAAUGGUUGGAAACCAUUCGAAGAGUGCAAAGGCAGAAGGGAGCUUGACUGUGACACCGACGGGUGGAGCAGGUACGAAAGUAGGGCUUAGUGAUCCGGUGGAAUUUAAGUGGGAAUGCCAUCGCUCAACGGAUAAAAGCUACCCUGGGAUAACAGGCUGAUCACUCCCAAGAGUUCACAUCGACGGAGUGGUUUGGCACCUCGAUGUCGGCUCAUCGCAUCCUGGGGCUGAAGUCGGUCCCAGGGGUUGGGCUGUUCGCCCAUUAAAGCGGUACGCGAGCUGGGUUCAGAACGUCGUGAGACAGUUCGGUCCCUAUCCGGCGUGGGCGUAGGAUAUCUGAGAGGAGCUGUCCUUGGUACGAGAGGACCGGGAUGGACUGACCUCUGGUGUACCGGUUGGCGAUCAACGCCACGGCCGGGUAGCCAUGUCGGGACGGGAUAAACGCUGAAGGCAUCUAAGCGUGAAGCCCCCCUCAAGAUGAGAUAUCCCAUCGUAAGAGUAAGACCCCUUGAAGACGACGAGGUUGAUAGGGCAGGGGUGGAAGUGCUGUAAGGCAUGGAGCUGACUGCUACUAAUCGGUCGAGGGCUUGAUC